rnacentral:rRNA from 1 species
UACGGGGGGGGCAAGCGUUGUUCGGAAUUACUGGGCGUAAAGGGCUCGUAGGCGGCCAACUAAGUCGGACGUGAAAUCCCUCGGCUUAACCGGGGAACUGCGUCCGAUACUGGAUGGCUUGAGUUUGGGAGAGGGAUGCGGAAUUCCAGGUGUAGCGGUGAAAUGCGCAGAUAUCAGGAAGAACACCUAUGGCGAAGGCAGCUCUCUGGGACGGUACUGACGCUGAGACGCGAAAGCGUGGGGAGCGAACAGG